UACGUAGGUGGCAAGCGUUGUCCGGAUUUACUGGGCGUAAAGAGCGCGCAGGCGGCCAAGUCAGUCGAAUGUGAAAGCCCCCGGCUUAACUGGGGAGGGUCAUUCGAUACUGCUCGGCUCGAAGACAGGAGAGGGAAGUGGAAUUCCCGGUGUAGUGGUGAAAUGCGCAGAUAUCAGGAGGAACACCAAUGGCGAAGGCAGCUCGCUGGGACGGUACUGACGCUGAGGUGCGAAAGCGUGGGGAGCGAACAGG
rnacentral:rRNA from 1 species